GCUUCUGAUUGAUCAUAUAGUUAGCAGCGCCCAUGUUAAAGUGACAUGCUUGAAACUCCUUAGCUUGGUUGUUGACCUUGGAGACGCUGUUUAUUGGAUGAACUCUAGAAUUUACAAAAAAUUACACUGAUAUGUUAUCUUUUACAUGGCAUUUCUAGUUACUAAUGCAGUAAAAUAAAAAUGCACAAAUGUGAUAAAUUAGAGUACAUGAGCACGCCAACCAUUGGAUGGGAAUGAAAUCCUACAUUGAUGGUUGGUGAUGCACAAAUCAAUAGAUGGAAGAAGAACGG
rnacentral:misc_RNA from 1 species